GGACUGAAUUUUCGGCUCUCCCUUGACACCAUUUGCGAGUAUGGUCUUGAGGAUACGUUGAUAGUCCAUCGGAAGGGGACGAUAAAUGGCUGACCCGUGUUACAAAAGAGCCAUAUCUCUUGCAUGUAAAAGACAAUCAUGUAGAUUUCGAAAAAGAGCAGGCUAAUGCCGCCACAAGGCAGCACGCGCACCCGCGAAGUUGAAAGGGAUUAAUAUUAGUUGCAAAACUUGUUCCCAAUCCACUAUAAAUAAAUAUGUUUAAACUAAACUAA
rnacentral:lncRNA from 1 species